rnacentral:rRNA from 1 species
AUCUAAGCGUGAAGCCAACUCUAAGAUGAAUCUUCUCUAAGCUCUCUAGAAGACUACUAGUUUGAUAGGCUGGGUGUGUAAUGGAUGAAAGUCCUUUAGCUGACCAGUACUAAUAGAGCGUUUGGCUUAUCUUU